AGGGGGAGAAUCAGAGAAUCCCAAAAUCCCUAAGUAAGUUAAGCAUCCACGACAACAAUAGCCCAAAUAGAACUCAGCCAAAAUCAAAUCUGAAAACGAAAUUGCACAACAGAAAGAUUAUAUGGAGAUUAAUGAUUGGCAAACCGGUCAUGCCAUUCCGGUUAAGUAUGUGACAUUCUAUUGAAUUAUUUAAGAUAUGAUGCCCAUUUGAAUAAGGGAAUUGAUAAUAUGAGUAUUCACCAUGAUAUUUCGAAAAUAAGCAAGAAAUUUUGUG
rnacentral:lncRNA from 1 species